rnacentral:rRNA from 1 species
UACGUAGGCAGCGAGCGUUGUUCGGAGUUACUGGGCGUAAAGGGUGCGCAGGCGGUGGAGCAAGUCUGUUGUGAAAUCUCCCGGCUUAACCGGGAGGGUGCGGCGGAAACUGUUCUGCUGGAGUGAGGGAGAGGCAAGCGGAAUUCCGGGUGUAGCGGUGGAAUGCGUAGAGAUCCGGAAGAACACCGGUGGCGAAGGCGGCCUGCUGGGCAGUUGCUGACACUGAGGCGCGACAGCGUGGGGAGCAAACAGG